AGCAGCCGCGGUAAUUCCAGCUCCAAUAGCGUAUAUUAAAGUUGUUGCAGUUAAAAAGCUCGUAGUUGAAUUUUGGGUCUGGCCGGGCGGUCCGCCCUCUGGGUGAGCACUGUUCCGACGCCGGGCCUAUCCUUCUGGUGAGUCGGCAUGUCCUUUAUUGGGUGUGUCGGGGAACCAGGACCAUUACCUUGAAAAAUUAGAGUGUUCAAAGCAGGCGUAUGCUCGAAUACAUUAGCAUGGAAUAAUGAAAUAGGACGCGUGGUGCUAUUUUGUUGGUUUCUAGAACCGCCGUAAUGAUUAAUAGGGAUAGUUGGGGGCAUCAGUAUUCAAUUGUCAGAGGUGAAAUUCUUGGAUUUAUUGAAGACUAACUUCUGCGAAAGCAUUUGCCAAGGAUGUUUUCAUUAAUCAAGAACGAAAGUUAGGGGAUCGAAGACGAUUAGAUACCGUCGUAGUCUUAACCAUAAACUAUGCCGACUAGGAAUCGGGCGAUGUUAUUCUCAUGACUCGCCCGGCGCCCUU
rnacentral:rRNA from 1 species